CGGGGUCAUAUUCACUGUGAUGGACAGCUCCGGUAACAAGACACCCUCGCUACUCUUUGCUCAGCUCUGCUGUGGAUUAAUGUAGUAAUAUGUCAUCUUUUCAAAGGUAAAGUGAAAAUCAUCACCUCCAGAGAGACUGUCCCCAGCAACGUGACCUCUGACCUGCUUAAGUCGUGUCCUAACACCACAGAGUGGACCGUGGAGUGGCCGCACGGUUGGUCUUUUUGUUGGAGUGUGAAAUUGUGCGAGUGAGACCAGUAAAUUCACCUGCAGCGAGCCAGGAUUCAGGAUCCCAGCUGCGAUGGAGGAAGGUUUGCAGCCUACUUAGAAGUGACAGACGCGUUACUUCCUGACAGAUAAGCUUAUGAGAUCUCAAAACAAUACACUGCCUGGGUAGUACUACUAACAUUAACACUAUCCACACACACUUCACACACCUGAACAGAAAAGACUGAAAAGAACCCUGAACUGAGUACACAGGCUGACAAACAUGGACUAUUGGAAUUUUCUCAUUGUGAAUUGUUGAAUGACUAUUUAUGGUUUUGUUUAAAUAAAUGUUAACUGUUCUUUUA
ensembl:lncRNA